rnacentral:tRNA from 1 species
GACAGUAUGGUGUAGUGGUUAUCACGUCUGCUUCACACGCAGAAGGUUUUAGUUCGAGCCUGGGUAUUGUCA